rnacentral:lncRNA from 1 species
UUGUUCAUUUUUGCAACAUGCUCCGCUAUUAGUCUAAUCUGAGUUGAUCCCAUUUAAAAUAAAAAAAAGAAAAAAGAUUAAAAAAAAAAGACAUGAAAAGAAAAGUAAAAAAAAAGUCCGAUUUACAAAUCUAAUUUGGCAACACGGUUUUCUUGACAAGAAUUUUUACAACGCGCGCCAAAACAAGAAAAACACAGAGAAGCAAAAUACUGAAAAUAAGUAACGUCAUGGGACUCAUGGCUGAUUCUACAAAUGUAUUACCAGAAAUCCCCCAUGAACGAGGUUUUAUCAGUUUCUAUGGAAAUCUUCCAGAGAUACAUGCCCUACCCUGCGAUUUUUCGGUCGAGGGGAUAUUUUUUACCAAUUAAGAGCAAGAUGUCCUUUUUGCUUCAAGAGAUUACUUCAAAACACACAGUGUCGUCAGGAUGUUGGGGUAUGGAGCUAAGAGGUUGGAAUCGGUGGUCUUUAACAAAAGUCACUUUGAGAACUUUGCAUGUGAUGUAGUCAGCAAGCACUACUGCAUUGAAAUUUACAAUGGAUCCAAAAGUGACUGGUCUCUCCAAUUUCAAUUGGCAUUCUAGCUCAAAAUUGGCUCAGAAAAUCAAAUAGGAUGCAGCUAAUGUGGAUACUUAUGCAAGAAAGAUUCUUGUGACACAGUUUUCAGAAAACAUGCCAAUGAUGCCUUCUCAAAUUUAGAAUCUCUCAUCGUCCAAGAGGUUUUGAUUACACAUGGUGAAGCCUACAUUCGUUGCCCUUGUUAAGCCCUUGUUAAGUUACCGCUUAAAGCUGGUUCCAGAGAAGCAACAGCAAUCGUCAACAGCUGCAACUGGCGGAUCCAUCCGGCCUCCAUCCGGUUCUCGACUGUUCACGGCGGUGGCGCUGGCAGCCGGUCGCACAGCGUCGAAAAUAGUUCGGUCGUCAUCCGGCGAUGGCGAUGGAUCCCAUGACGGGAUCCAGCGACUGGCUCAGCACCAACAGCUUCUCCUUCAUCCAGACAACGGUCAACAACGAUCCGGGGGCGGCCCUGACCCUCCGGCGCAAGUACGGACUGAUGGCCUUCAACAACAAGUCCAGCGACAAAGUGCUAGGCAGCAGCCACCACCAUCUCCACAACAACAUCAAGGGCGACGUCAUCCGGGUCAUGCGGACCCAGUGGGAGACUCAGAUGAAGCAGAUGGAUCAAAUCCAGCCGAGUUACGAGGAGCAGGACUAGUGCAACGACAAAAGGCUGUCGCAGACUAACAAGUCGACGGCCAAGAAAAAAAGAGCCCGGCACCUCGUCCCGCCAUUCCACCCACAACCAAUCCAGUUUGGUCGCAUUCAGCGGAUUCACUCACGUGCCGGGAAAGAGAAAAGCGGCUUCGCCUCCAGAUCAGUAGAAUCCGACCAAGACUUUCAACAUCGUCGCUCCUUAUCCGGUGACGACGGCGGCGCUACCCGACCUGAUGGAAUCGACUCCGCCUGAAGCUUGUCCUCCGGAGGAGAGCAACAACAAGUGAGGCAACGACCUGAACUGCAAUUUGCUGCUGGGCGAGAAUAGCAAAGUGAAACUGUUCGCCGGUAUCAGCAAAACAAAUUGGACGACUGUCCGCUCAAAAUCAACGACAUCCUCAAAGUAGAAGGCAGAGUCCUCCGUCCGCUGGAUUCUUCCAACAAGCAGCAGCCGCAACAAGCGGAAGCUUCCACCACCGGUUCGACGAUGAUUUCCAACCACGAUGGAUUCCAACUCUGGCAUAAUGACCCUUUCGCUCGAGCCGUGCUGGUACAAACGUGGCCGGAAUCACGGAAGCAACGCGGAAUAAGCCAAUUGCAUCACCUUACAUCAGCACUCAUAUCCGCCAACGCAGCGUCGCGAUCAAAAUAAUGGAAGGUUGCGGCUCUUCUUCACCAAUGCCCUUCUUCCUCCGGUGACGUACGAGUGCAACAGCUAGGCGAUGGGUUUGUUGGGCAGUCACCACAACCUCCACCCGUCAGAAUCGAACACGAUCCGCUCCAAUUAUUCGUCGGCCGUCAGUCCCGGUGGAUCGACCAGGAUUGAAGGCUAGUACGUUCUCAACAAUCCGGCGCCAGUUCCUAAGUUUAAAAUCAGCCAACCUUCGCCUCAACCCGGUCCAGCUCAAGGUGAACCAGCCCGUCCCGACCCAGCGCCACAUUCAACCAACAACGGAGCCCGGAAGUCUUACAAAUUACGAGGGGGAUCGGUACAGCACUUGGGAAGCGACGGCCAAACAACACCAUCAACCAGCAACCUGCUAACAAGAUCAAAGACCCUCAACUAACAACAACAACCAACAACAUCGCAACGGAUGAACAGCAACUGGCGGAAUCUGAUUAAGUGAAGACUGGCGGAUCGGAUCCUGCGGAUGGCUGGAUCUUCCCCAGCUGCUGCAUUUUGGUCAACCCAACGAAGACACGAGGCUUGCACUGUCAAUCGACGGCCGACGGAUCAACUUCCGGCAGUAACCAAGCCGAAAGUGGAUAACAAGAAACUGGACUAGCGACGUCGUAACCAACGCCGACACUUUCGAUUGUCCGGUCCGUCCGUUUGAUGACCGUUCCCUCGGGCGUGGGCGUCACCUUGAGGGAAUGUCCCCACAAUUUCUGCAGGGAUUGUUUUUGGCUCACCUGAUUGAAUUCAGAGAUGAAAGUGACCGGUGACAUGCCCGUACCACGACGACAAUUACGCCUGUGACGUCAUCCUACAGGAACUUGAAAUCAAAAAUUCGCUGUCGCAAGAGCAACUGCCUCAUCACUAGCCAGUCCAUUCACGAAGGCGCCAAGUGCAAGGAAUUUCAGGAUCGAGUCAACCAUAGUGCCGAGACGGACGAGAACGCCAGCAGGUGGACCAAAGAAAUGAUCGAUGCGCUGCUGGUCAGUGGCCCUUUCGUGCCCGCAGCGUCAGGUGGUGUCAGGGGGUCCAUAUGAAACGUUUGGCGGACUGCGAUUAAGUCCGCUGUUCCGUCUGCCGGACGGAAGUCUGUUGGGUCACCAAACAAAAUCGCUGGGGUCCAAAGGGCAAAGGUGACACGGGCGGUGGCUGUCGGUGUGGCGUUGACGUCAAAUAUCAUCUCCUCUGAUAUUAAUGCCAUUAAUUAAAACUUAAAUUUGAUUACCGUAGAAUGAAAUUAUUUCGCCGAGUCGUGUGCAAUUGAAAUUUAUUGACAUUUGAAAUGCGUGUAUUUAAUCAAUGUUUGGCAUGUUUUAAAAAGAAAAAAAAUUAUAUGAUGAGAAUUCCUACAUAUGUGAAUAGGAGAACAGAGGCAAAGUAAAUGCAAUGCUCAGCAAUGCAUUAUUUACAAAAGAUAUAUAUUAAUAUACAUAUUCAAUUUCUAAUGUUAGAUUCAGAGGGAGGUUUCAUUGGCUUUUCUUUUCUUUCGAAUAGUUUGAUGUUUCACCUUGUAUAUGAAACAUGCAUCCUACCAAAAUUAUU